CACUAGUAGAAAACCUCACAUCCAUCUAAGCCAUUGGUACCGGUUCCCUUACGAACCGGUACCAAUGGGGCCAUUUGUACCGGUUUGAGGGCUCAGGUGGGCGAGGGGCUUUCGUACCGGUUUGGGAGGGGCUUUCGUACCGGUUCGUGUUAGGAACCGGUACGAAAGGUCUUCGGCCAAAAUUCAGACGCGUGGUGGGGCCCGGGCUGGACCUUUGGUACCGGUUCGUAACACGAACCGGUACCAAAGGGUACCCAGCCAUAUCAAAAUCGCCCAGCUCGUCCCGAGCCCCCUGCUGGCUCUCAUUUUUCUCAUCUUCCUCACACUCUAAAUUUUUCUCCACCUCUCACACACUCCAAUAAUCUUUAUUUUUCUCCACCAUUUUAACAAGAUUAACGGCAUACAUCUAUCCAAGGGUUAGCAAUAUCAUCCUUCCUUCCGGCGUUCCUAAUUUAGCUCAGUUCUUUGGUAGUUUUAACUCGUACUAUUUUUGUAGUGCAAUCAAGGUGUUCGAUGAAAUGCCUAAGUUAGUGAUUUUAUUUUUUUAUAUGCAAUUUGAGCUGAAAUUAUGGUAUGUUUUGUAGGUUUUAAUUAGUAUCAUCCCCGUCCUCACCGCCGUCGAUCGCUAGCGUCGUCCCCUAGCCGGCACGGUACCACCUCGAUGAGUCGACAAUGGAUGUACGGUGACCGGUGCCAUCCCGAGUUCAUUACUGGCAUGCAUUAUUUUCUCAACGUGGCUGAGGCAAACAGGCAGUCGAAUGGUUUCAUGUAUUGUCCAUGUAGUUCCUGUAAGAAUAUGAAGGAUUACUCUA